rnacentral:rRNA from 1 species
UACGAAGGGGCUAGCGUUGUUCGGAAUUACUGGGCGUAAAGCGCGCGCAGGCGGGCUAUCCAAGUCAGUGGUGAAAGCCCGGAGCUCAACUCCAGAACCUGCCUUUGAUACUGAAGAUCUUGAGUUCGGGAGAGGUGAGUGGAACUGCGAGUGUAGAGGUGAAAUUCGUAGAGUAUUACGCAAGAACACCAGUGGCGAAGGCGGAC